AUGUGCCCAAAGUGCCCCUUUGGAGGUUUAAUGAUUUAUUUAUAUUUAUUUAUUUAUAAUUGUUUUAUUUUUUUAAGAAUUUUCUGUUUGUGCCCCCUCAACAAUAACAAAAAUACUAAUUAAUAACAUUUCUGUUUAAUAAAGUUAUAUAGCUGGCGUGAGUCACGAGACCAUACCGUCUCUUCCUCACGCCAGAGCGCACAGCCGGUCACAACAAGCUGCGAGCACCCAUGUUUCCUUCAUGGCCGAGCGAGUGGUGCAAAGCUUUUAGGACAUACAUAUUGAUUGGGAGAAACGGACUAACACCGACAUGCCUCGUAAGGACAGGAGGCGGAAGCAGCGACAGAAAGAGCUAUGUGAGGCAGCUAAAGGCAGUGGGUCCCUCACCAGCUGGAUAAAAAAAGAGUACAGUCUGAGAUCAACACAGCCUUGCCCUCCAGCAUCAUCAGCAGCAGCAAGAGGAGCGACCCUGCAACAGCUCCAUUGUACCCCAUCAUCAGGUAAAAUAGGACAGCAAUAGAUCAGGAGG